UACGUAGGGGCCUAGCGUUGUCCGGAUUUAUUGGGCGUAAAGAGCUCGUAGGCGGUUCGGUAAGUCAGGUGUGAAAUCUCCACGCUCAACGUGGAGGCGCCACCUGAAACUGCCGUGACUCGAGUCCGGUAGGGGAGUGUGGAAUUCCCGGUGUAGCGGUGAAAUGCGCAGAUAUCGGGAGGAGCACCAGUGGCGAAGGCGGCACUCUGGGCCGGUACUGACGCUGAGGAGCGAAAGCGUGGGGAGCGAACAGG
rnacentral:rRNA from 1 species